CUUAUUUUCCUGUCUUUUACCACCAACUCCAGCUGCCUUUCGAUCCAGUCGCAUUCCCGCUGACUUUUCUGUAGCCAUGGACAGGGAAGCGAGUAGUUUGGUUAUGAACUAUGUCAUUCUCAUACUUUUGCUACUCAUUCUAUGGGUUUUGUAUCUCGGGUUUUAGGAGCUCAGGUAUCUUGAUGUAUUUUGUGGGGAAAAAGAAAGAACUUCCUUGUGGUAUAUUACUCUCGGCCAUUGUUUGCACUCAAAUUGCCUUAGGCUCAAAUACAGAUUUAGAUAAUGCCGUGAAGCACAAUUAAUGUGAAUAGCUUUACCAAAUUGUGUCUGUAAAGAUUAUCAUGGAGCUCGGGAUAUCUUCAAUGGAAUUCAAUCAUGUGACAAUGCUGGACAUCAUCAAAAAGAUUUCAAGGAAGUAUUUGUGCACUAUUAGAUUCGAUUUCAAAAUCUCACAAUAUAUCUCUUAAACUCAUUUUCAUCAAUGUUACCGAAAGCAAAACCACACCUCAUUUGCAUACCUUUAUAUAUUUUCUAAAAAUGGAUGUAGUUAUAUUAAAAAUGUAAAAUCGGCAUUGAAGAUUUCAAUAAACAUUUUACAGCUCUU